GCUUGUCUCAAAGAUUAAGCCAUGCACGUCUAAGUAUGAAUCUAUUACUUUGAAACUGCGAAUGGCUCAUUAUAUCAGUUAUAGUUUAUUUGAUAGUCCCUUACUAUUUGGAUAACCGUAGUAAUUCUAGAGCUAAUACAUGCGCUGACACCUGUUUUAGGUGGUAUUUAUUAGAUGAAAACCAACCCCUUUGGGGUGAUGUGGUGAUUCAUAAUAAGCAUGCGGAUCGCACGGUCUGUCCGGCGAUGGAUCAUUCAAGUUUCUGCCCUAUCAGCUUUGGACGGUAAGGUAUUGGCUUACCGUGGCUUUAACGGGUAACGGGGAAUUAGGGUUCGAUUCCGGAGAGGGAGCCUGAGAGAUGGCUACCACAUCCAAGGAAGGCAGCAGG
rnacentral:rRNA from 1 species